rnacentral:lncRNA from 1 species
AUGCUCUACAGUCCCAAGCCCGGGACGCGGCUCCGAGCCUCCGGCUGAUGGAGAUGUGCUCGGUCCUCCCAGGAGUGGCAGAGGUUGGGUAUGAUUGUCCAUCGGGGCCGGAAGCCAGUGUCAUCACUGUGACGGCGUUGCCAGCACUUGGAGAGGCUGAGGCGGGAUCCCAAGUUCAAGGCCAGCCUGGGCAACUUUGCAAGACCCUCAGAAUACCAGAACAACAAAGACCAGGGCUGUAGCACACCUCGAAGGAUUAAAAGGCACUGCUGAAAGGUGCUGGCGAGAAACUGAAGAUUGACCAUGAGAAAGAAGGUGGAGAAACAGCUGCUGCCCGAGAGGCACAAGUAGCAGGCGGUCUGCAGGAUCCGGCCUUCCCAGGAGGUGCCCCAUCCAGCCUGCCCCCAGAGUGAAGGGAAGCUUUCUGGACCUUCUCCUCCUCCUUCAGAAGUCACCUUGGCCCCAAGCUCCGUCAGGGGCAGCCACCCCUCCUGUCAUCCCCU